rnacentral:lncRNA from 12 species
CCUCAAGGCAGUAUUUGGAAUUCAUGCUCCCCACCUGUGUCUACCAAUACUCUCCCUGGGGCAGGAUGCAAAAUUAUUCACAUGCCAGUGUUCUGGCCUAGACCAAAAUGUUAUUAUGGUUAAAAAUUAUUUAUGUUCCAAUUACACUUCAUUACUUUUUAACUAAAGAUCUCAUUUCACUCCAGUGAAGAAUCCAAUACAAUCUGGGUCAUUUCAAACCAGCCACAGAGAACCUGCAUUUGGGGGACAUAUUUCAAGGAAGACACAGCCCACCAUUUAGAAUCCUCCCGAAUCUAUGAGACAAAGUGCUUCGGUGAAGCUCAGAGACUCAGUUUGGAGUUGCUACCAAAGGCCCGAAGCUACAGUGGAGCGGGAACGAGCCUCCGUGCUGCUCAAGCUGUGAAAAGCCAAGUUGCAGAAGAGGCUGAGGAGAUGUGGCGGGGGUCCCAACAGGGGCCGCUGGCGCUGCACGGCCCCGAGGCCCUAACUCACGCCUGUGCAACUCUACCCAGGGGUGAGCCUGGCAGAGAGCCACUCUCACGGGGCCUCUCCUCCUUGUCAUAAAUUGGAACAUUCGAGGAUGCUUAAAGAGAUUAAAGCAAUACCUGCAACUCCAAACUUCUUUUGAAUCUACUCUCCAAAAAAAAAAAAAAAGAAAAAAGAAUCUACUCUCCCCAAGGAACGCCAAGAGUAGAAAAUAAAUCUUAUUGUAUCAGGCCUUUUCGUAAGUCA